CAACAUAUGAAUGAAAAAAUAAAUAAGGCCAAUAGUAUUAUGGGACUAAUUAGAAGGACAUUUACCUGCCUCAAUGAGGAAAUGUUCUUAUUACUUUAUAAAGCACUAGCAAGACCAAACCUCGAAUAUGCCAAUGCUAUAUGGAGCCCAUUCAAAGUUAAAGAUAUAACAGCACUUGAAAAUGUUCAAAGGCGAGCAACAAAAUUGAUACCAACAUUGAAAGAUCUAGAGUACGAAC
rnacentral:lncRNA from 1 species